rnacentral:lncRNA from 1 species
AAGGCUAAGGAUAGAACCCAGAGUCUUGCACAUGCCAGGCAACUACUCUGCCACCUGUACCACUGAGUUAUAUUCCCAGCCCUGAUAGAUUUUUUUUAAGUUAAAUUAUUAUUGUGUUCUAUCCAUUUACCUUCAAAUGCUAUAAUUUUAUUUUCUUUUAUUGCUGAGUAAUAUUCCAUUGUGUAUAUAUACCACAGUUUCUUUAUCCGUUCAUCAAUUGAAGGGCAUCUAGGUUGGUUCCAUCGUUUGGCUAUUGUGAAUUGUGCUGCCAUGAACAUUUAUGUGGCUCUGUCCCUGUAGUAUGCUGUUUUUAAGUUUUUUGGGUAUUGACAAGGAGUGGGAUAGCUCGGUUAAAUGGUGGUUCUAAUUUCAAGUUUUCUAAGGAAUCUCCAUACUGCUUUCCAAAUUAGCUGCACCAAUUUGUGGUCCCACCAGCAAAGUAUGAGUGUGCCUUUUCCCCCACAUCCUCACCAACACUUACUGUUGUUUGUAUUCUUGAUAGCUACCAUUCUGACUGGAGUGGGAUAAAAUCUUAGAGUAGUUUUGAUUUGCAUUUCUCUAAUUACUAGAGAUGUUGAACAUUUUUUCAUAUGUUUGUUGAUCGAUUGUAUAUCAUUUGCAGGUAAAUGGAUGGAGUUAGAGAAUAUCAUGCUAAGCGAAGUAAGCCAAUCCCAAAAAACCAAAGGUCGAAUGUUUUUUCUGAUGAGUGGAUGCUAAUCUAUAAUGGGCAGGGGGGCGGAGAUGGGAUGAGUGGAGGAACUUUGGAUGGGGCAAAGGAGAGGGGGCAUGGCAGAAAGACAGAUGGUGGAAUGAGACAUACAUCAUUCUCCUAGGUACAUAUAUGAUUGCACGAAUGGUGUGACCCUACUUUGGUGAUAACUA